GCCACGCGACGAAGCGCAAACCCAAACGGCCAGAGCCUCAGCCCGCCCCCGGAGCCACGCGGACACUUCGCGGGAGGCAGCAAAGCGGCUCAGACCCUCCGUGCGCCCGCGCCUCCACACCUGCGUGUGCCCCAGCAGCCGCUGCAGCUCGGCCAGCAGCUCGGCGAUGCGCGAGUCCGCCGACACCAGCGCCAUGACGGCGGCCACAACGCAGCGUCCGCACAGAGUUCUACGCAUGCGCCAGUCUCGACACAGCACUACGCAUGCGUAAUUCUGGAGACUAGUACGCAUGUGCCAUGCUUGAUGGUUCACUGCGCAUGCGCCAUACUGGUGAACGCAAAGUUGGAAGAGGGAAGAAAGCAAGAAAGGAAAAAAUCUGCAAAGCCAGGAAGCCUGUGUUAAUUGCUUAUGAAUGUAUGUGAAAACAAUGACCGAAGUUAUGUUGCAUUUUUUUUAUUAGCGUCAGUUGCAUUUAUUUAAAUAGUCAUGCACCAAAGUCCAACUACACCAGGCAAAUUUAACGGUAAUAGAGUGAAGGCAUGUUAGCAGAAAGCACAAGACUGUAUUGACAUUGUCUCAGCCUCUGCCUAUUUUUAAUGAGGUUUUUUUAUAAAUGCCUUUUUUGCAUUAAAGAAAAAGCCAAAAAUAAAUCUCAGAUUGCUGAAAA